rnacentral:rRNA from 1 species
GGUUAAGCGACUAAGCGUACACGGUGGAUGCCCUGGCAGUCAGAGGCGAUGAAGGACGUGCUAAUCUGCGAUAAGCGUCGGUAAGGUGAUAUGAACCGUUAUAACCGGCGAUUUCCGAAUGGGGAAACCCAGUGUGAUUCGUCACACUAUCAUUAACUGAAUCCAUAGGUUAAUGAGGCGAACCGGGGGAACUGAAACAUCUAAGUACUCCGAGGAAAAGAAAUCAACCGAGAUUCCCCCAGUAGCGGCGAGCGAACGGGGAGCAGCCCAGAGCCUGAAUCAGUGUGUGUGUUAGUGGAAGCGUCUGGAAAGGCGCGCGAUACAGGGUGACAGCCCCGUACACAAAAAUGCACAUAUUGUGAGCUCGAUGAGUAGGGCGGGACACGUGGUAUCCUGUCUGAAUAUGGGGGGACCAUCCUCCAAGGCUAAAUACUCCUGACUGACCGAUAGUGAACCAGUACCGUGAGGGAAAGGCGAAAAGAACCCCGGCGAGGGGAGUGAAAAAGAACCUGAAACCGUGUACGUACAAGCAGUGGGAGCAUGCUUAGGCGUGUGACUGCGUACCUUUUGUAUAAUGGGUCAGCGACUUAUAUUCUGUAGCAAGGUUAACCGAAUAGGGGAGCCGAAGGGAAACCGAGUCUUAACUGGGCGUUAAGUUGCAGGGUAUAGACCCGAAACCCGGUGAUCUAGCCAUGGGCAGGUUGAAGGUUGGGUAACACUAACUGGAGGACCGAACCGACUAAUGUUGAAAAAUUA